rnacentral:rRNA from 1 species
GACGAACGCUGGCGGCGUGCUUAACACAUGCAAGUCGAACGGAAAGGCCCUGCUUUUGUGGGGUGCUCGAGUGGCGAACGGGUGAGUAACACGUGUGUAACCUGCCCUUGACUUUGGGAUAACUUCAGGAAACUGGGGCUAAUACCGGAUAGGAUCUCCUGCUGCAUGGUGUGGGUUGGAAAGUUUCGGCGGUUGGGGCUGGACUCGCGGCUUAUCAGCUUGUUGGUGGGGUAGUGGCUGACCAAGCCUUUGACGGGUAGCCGGCCUGAGAGGGGGAACGGCGACAUGGGGACUGAGAUACGGACCAGAAUCGUACGGGAGGCAGCAGUGGGGAAUAUUGCGCAAUGGGCGGACGCCUGAGACAGAAGCGCCGGGUGCGGGAUGCCGGCUUUCGGGGUGUAAACAGAUUUCGCAUGUGACGAAGAGGGCGUGACGGUAAUGGGUAAAGAAGCACCGGCUAACUACGUG